GUGAGGGCGAUCUGGCUGCGACAUCUGUCACCCCGUUGAUCGCCAGGGUUGAUUCGGCUGAUCUGGCUGGCUAGGUGGUUGUCUCCUUCCUCACCCCCUCCCAAAGCUGCGCGCUCUGUUGAAGAGGACAGCCUUCCCAGAAUAGAGACAGACUAGUGUUCGGUCGAGGGUAUAUGAGUAGCUGCGCUCCCCUGCUAGAGCCUCCAAACAAGCUCUCAAGAUAAAACAGUAUCUUGCACUGAUAUAUGUGUUAAGAUAAGAUAUACAUAUACUUUAUCAUUGU
rnacentral:snRNA from 1 species